AGAGUUUGAUCAUGGCUCAGGAUGAACGCUGGCGGCGUGCCUAACACAUGCAAGUCGAGCGAUUUACUUCGGUAAAGAGCGGCGGACGGGUGAGUAACGCGUGGGUAACCUGCCCUGUACACACGGAUAACAUACCGAAAGGUAUGCUAAUACGAGAUAAUAUACUUUUAUCGCAUGGUAGAAGUAUCAAAGCUCCGGCGGUACAGGAUGGACCCGCGUCUGAUUAGCUAGUUAGUAAGGUAACGGCUUACCAAGGCGACGAUCAGUAGCCGACCUGAGAGGGUGAUCGGCCACAUUGGAACUGAGACACGGUCCAAACUCCUACGGGAGGCAGCAGUGGGGAAUAUUGCACAAUGGGCGAAAGCCUGAUGCAGCAACGCCGCGUGAGCGAUGAAGGCCUUCGGGUCGUAAAGCUCUGUCCUCAAGGAAGAUAAUGACGGUACUUGAGGAGGAAGCCCCGGCUAACUACGUGCCAGCAGCCGCGGUAAUACGUAGGGGGCUAGCGUUAUCCGGAAUUACUGGGCGUAAAGGGUGCGUAGGUGGUUUCUUAAGUCAGAGGUGAAAGGCUACGGCUCAACCGUAGUAAGCCUUUGAAACUGGGAAACUUGAGUGCAGGAGAGGAGAGUGGAAUUCCUAGUGUAGCGGUGAAAUGCGUAGAUAUUAGGAGGAACACCAGUUGCGAAGGCGGCUCUCUGGACUGUAACUGACACUGAGGCACGAAAGCGUGGGGAGCAAACAGGAUUAGAUACCCUKGKAGU
rnacentral:rRNA from 1 species